UACGAGUGCCUCAAGCGUUAUCCGGAAUCAUUGGGCGUAAAGGAUGUGUAGGUGGCCCUGUUAGUCUCUCGUUAAAUAUUGCGGCUUAACCGUAAAAAUGCGAGGGAAACGGCAGGACUUGAGGGUGCAAGGGGUCUGCGGAACUCGUAGGUGUAGCGGUGAAAUGCGUUGAUAUCUAGGGGAACACCAAAAGCGAAGGCAGCAGACUGGGGCAUUCCUGACACUGAAACAUGAAAGCGUGGGUAGCGAAUGGG
rnacentral:rRNA from 1 species